rnacentral:rRNA from 1 species
GUGGGGAAUUUUGGACAAUGGGCGCAAGCCUGAUCCAGCAAUGCCGCGUGCAGGAAGAAGGCCUUCGGGUUGUAAACUGCUUUUGUACGGGAAGAAACACUCCCUCGUGAGGGAGCUUGACGGUACCGUAAGAAUAAGGAUCGGCUAACUCCGUGCCAGCAGCCGCGGUAAUACGGAGGAUCCAAGCGUUAUCCGGAAUCAUUGGGUUUAAAGGGUCCGUAGGCGGUUUAAUAAGUCAGUGGUGAAAGCCCAUCGCUCAACGAUGGAACGGCCAUUGAUACUGUUAGACUUGAAUUACAAGGAAGUAACUAGAAUAUGUAGUGUAGCGGUGAAAUGCUUAGAUAUUACAUGGAAUACCAAUUGCGAAGGCAGGUUACUACUUGUGGAUUGACGCUGAUGGACGAAAGCGUGGGGAGCGAACAGGAUUAGAAACCCGGGUAGUCC